UCCGAUGUGGUGUAGUGGCUAACAUUGCUGUCUUUCAUCUCAGACCUGAGAGAACUACACAGCAGCCCGGGGUUCGAUUCCCCGCAUCGGAA